CCUACGGGAGGCAGCAGUGGGGAAUAUUGGACAAUGGAGGAGACUCUGAUCCAGCAAUUCUGUGUGCACGAAGAAGGUUUUCGGAUUGUAAAGUGCUUUCAGUGGGGAAGAAGGAAGUGACGGUACCCACAGAAGAAGCGACGGCUAAAUACGUGCCAGCAGCCGCGGUAAUACGUAUGUCGCGAGCGUUAUCCGGAAUUAUUGGGCAUAAAGGGCAUCUAGGCGGACGAUCAAGUCAGGGGUGAAAACUUGCGGCUCAACUGUAAGCUUGCCUUUGAAACUGAUUGUCUAGAGUAUUGGAAAGGUGGGCGGAACUACACGAGUAGAGGUGAAAUUCGUAGAUAUGUGUAGGAAUGCCGAUGAUGAAGAUAGCUCACUGGACGAUAACUGACGCUGAAGUGC
rnacentral:rRNA from 1 species